AUAGUGCUCCCGCCGUCCGAAAAUACUUGUCAUCAAAAUGAACAAAAAGAGAUGUAUCUAGAACUAAAAUACAUCUAGAUACAUCCCUUUUUAUUUAUUUUGAUGACAAGUAUUUCCGGACGGAGGGAGUAUCUG
rfam:Triticum aestivum genome assembly, contig: Triticum_aestivum_CS42_TGACv1_scaffold_129573_2BL